rnacentral:rRNA from 1 species
ACAUAUCAAUAAGCGGAGGAAAAGAAACCAACAGGGAUUGCCUUAGUAACGGCGAGUGAAGCGGCAACAGCUCAAAUUUGAAAGCUGGCCCUUUCAGGGUCCGCAUUGUAAUUUGUAGAGGAUGAUUCGGCGAGGGCUCCCGCCUAAGUCCCCUGGAACGGGGCGUCAUAGAGGGUGAGAAUCCCGUAUGCGGUGGGCUGCCUUAGCCAUGUGAAUCUCCUUCGACGAGUCGAGUUGUUUGGGAAUGCAGCUCUAAAUGGGAGGUAAAUUUCUUCUAAAGCUAAAUACCGGCCAGAGACCGAUAGCGCACAAGUAGAGUGAUCGAAAGAUGAAAAGCACUUUGGAAAGAGAGUUAAAAAGUACGUGAAAUUGUUGAAAGGGAAGCGCUUGCAACCAGACUUGUCCGCAGUUGCUCAGCCGGUCUCCUGACCGGCGUACUCUUCUGCGGCCAGGCCAGCAUCAGUUCGGGCGGUCGGAUAAAGACCUCGGGAAUGUAGCUCCUCUCGGGGAGUGUUAUAGCCCGGGGUGGAAUGCGGCCAGCCUGGACUGAGGAUCUCGCUUCGGCAAGGAUGCUGGCGUAAUGGUUGUAAGCGGCCCGUCUUGAAACACGGACCAAGGAGUCUAACAUCUAUGCGAGUGUUUGGGUGUCAAACCCAUACGCGUAAUGAAAGUGAACGGAGGUGGGAACCCGCAAGGGUGCACCAUCGGCCGAUCCUGAUGUCUUCGGAUGGAUUUGAGCAAGAGCAUAGCUGUUGGGACCCGAAAGAUGGUGAACUAUGCCUGAAUAGGGUGAAGCCAGAGGAAACUCUGGUGGAGGCUCGCAGCGGUUCUGACGUGCAAAUCGAUCGUCAAAUUUGGGUAUAGGGGCGAAAGACUAAUCGAACCAUCUAGUAGCUGGUUCCUGCCGA